rnacentral:rRNA from 1 species
UAUUGGACAAUGGGGGGAACCCUGAUCCAGCGACGCCGCGUGAGUGAAGAAGUAUCUCGGGAUGUAAAGCUCUAUCAGCAGGGAAGCAAGACAUGACGGUACCUGAGUAAGAAGCCCCGGCUAACUACGUGCCAGCAGCCGCGGUAAUACGUAGGGGGCAAGCGUUAUCCGGAAUUACUGGGUGUAAAGGGAGCGUAGACGGUGAAGUAAGUCUGGAGUGAAAGGCGGGGGCCCAACCCCCGGACUGCUCUGGAAACUAUUUGACUGGAGUGCAGGAGAGGUAAGCGGAAUUCCUAGUGUAGCGGUGAAAUGCGUAGAUAUUAGGAGGAACACCAGUGGCGAAGGCGGCUUACUGGACUGUAACUGACGUUGAGGCUCGAAAGCGUGGGGGGCAACCAGGA